rnacentral:rRNA from 1 species
UACGUAGGGUGCAAGCGUUGUCCGGAAUUAUUGGGCGUAAAGAGCUCGUAGGCGGUCUGUCGCGUCGGAUGUGAAAACUCGGGGCUCAACCCCGAGCCUGCAUUCGAUACGGGCAGACUAGAGUUCGGUAGGGGAGACUGGAAUUCCUGGUGUAGCGGUGAAAUGCGCAGAUAUCAGGAGGAACACCGGUGGCGAAGGCGGGUCUCUGGGCCUGACCUGACGCUGAGGAGCGAAAGCGUGGGGAGCGAACAGG